GUUGAGGUCCGAUGUGUGGAGAAGAAUAGUCUUAAGAACCAACGUCAACAACCGGGCAUGAACUGCGGGUCUGAACUUUUUUGAGCUGGACCUAUUCAGGCCUAUAACCAACCAUACCCAACCAUUUGUUGUAAGAAACCGAACUGAACCAAACUCUUGUCAAAGUCAACCUAUUAACACCUGAACCAAGCGAAACCGUCAGCAGAAACCAAACCGAUACACC
rnacentral:lncRNA from 1 species